UACGUAGGGGGCAAGCGUUGUCCGGAUUCAUUGGGCGUAAAGAGCGUGUAGGCGGCCAGGUAGGUCGGUUGUGAAAACUGGAGGCUCAACCUUCAGAGGUCGACCGAAACCAUCUGGCUAGAGUCCGGGAGAGGAAAGUGGAAUUCCAAGUGUAGCGGUGAAAUGCGUAGAGAUUUGGAGGAACACCAGUGGCGAAGGCGACUUUCUGGUCUGUAACUGACACUGAGGCGCGAAAGCGUGGGGAGCAAACAGG
rnacentral:rRNA from 1 species